UACGGAGGGUGCGAGCGUUGUCCGGAAUCACUGGGCGUAAAGGGCGCGUAGGCGGCACGGCAAGUCAGGAGUGAAAGGCCUGGGCUCAACCGAGGAACUGCUUUUGAGACUGCCGAGCUAGAGUGCAGAAGGGGCAACUGGAAUUCCCAGUGUAGCGGUGAAAUGCGUAGAUAUUGGGAAGAACACCUGAGGCGAAGGCGGGUUGCUGGGCUGACACUGACGCUGAGGCGCGAAAGCCAGGGGAGCAAACGGG
rnacentral:rRNA from 1 species